UUGGUGCACGUCACAGACAGUGGGCGACCCCCAAAUCCCUUUUAGUAUUGGCUUUCAUCCUGUUGUAGGUAAGGGAUGGUCUUUUGGCAUCGUAGAGAUGUGCUAUCUGCAUGAAAAUACACAAAUCAACUCAAAGCAAAAGAGGAGUGUCGUAUCCAAACCUUCUCAGUAUAAAGUAAAGUUGUUCUCUCUCUCUCUCUCUCUCUCUCUCUCACGUUCCAAACCAGCUAAGCUAUAACCCUUUCUUUGUUCCCUUCUUUCUCUCUCUCAAGGUCCCUGAGAAAGUGCAUCAUAAACCCUCAAAAUCCUAUAAAGAAAACUGCCUCCCCCAACCCCAAUGAAAUAAAAAACUGCCUCUCUAGCUAGCUAAUUAAGAAACUUCUUAACCCUCCUCCCUCCCCUCUCCUAUAUAUCUUCUUUCUUUCUAGCUAGGUGCAACGAUCUUUCUUAUAUAGCUACUAUAUAUUGGGAAACAAAAAUAUAUAUAUAUGGGCAGUGGUGGUGUUUCUUGUUUUUUAGAGUGUUUCUUGCGAACGCUUGCGGUGGUAGGGUUUAUCUGUCUUUUGCUGGUCGGAACCCUAGAGACUCAAGGAGGUACGAGUACAGCAGCCUCAAAGCAUACCGAUGCGGUUGGAAGAGGGAAGCUUGUUCAUCCAGAUUUGAAUUUUAACUAUAUGAGCAAAAGAAGAGUUCCCAACGGACCAGAUCCAAUUCACAACAGGAGAGCUGGGAACUCGGGACGGCCCCCGGGUCAAGCUUAGCCACUAAUUAAAGUACUUCAGAAGCUAAUUCAGCAGGAGUAUUGCAGGUGAAGAUGAUGCACGCGAUGGAUCGAGAUGCAUACGAAUCGAUGAAGAUGCAUAUGCCCUUUAGGAUUAUGUAUGUAUGUGUUUAAAUAUUCUUGAAAAAAUAUUAUGAAUAAUCCCAGCUGUGUGUGCAUAUGCAAAUCUUUUUCAUGACAGAAAUGGCUUUGGGAGGUGUUCGGGGAGAGUGUACGAAAGGAAAUGAAGAUUGCCACUCGCACAAAAAAUAAGUUCUUCGAUCAAAGAUUAAUUACUGUUUUCUCCACAAUUUUUUUAUUGUGACUGAGUGAUAGAUAUAGCAAAUUUUUAAUCGAUUGAGAAAAUGUGUCUUUGCAUGUAAAAAAGACGAUGAGAAUAUAUUUAUUUGUGGAACAUAACUUAAAGCAGUCGCCGUGCAUGCAUACGGGAUAGUUUGGCCUGUA